rnacentral:rRNA from 1 species
UGGGGAAUUUUGGACAAUGGGCGCAAGCCUGAUCCAGCCAUUCCGCGUGCAGGACGAAGGCCUUCGGGUUGUAAACUGCUUUUGUACGGAACGAAAAGGCUCUGGCUAAUACCUGGGGCUCAUGACGGUACCGUAAGAAUAAGCACCGGCUAACUACGUGCCAGCAGCCGCGGUAAUACGUAGGGUGCAAGCGUUAAUCGGAAUUACUGGGCGUAAAGCGUGCGCAGGCGGUUAUGUAAGACAGAGGUGAAAUCCCCGGGCUCAACCUGGGAACUGCAUUUGUGACUGCGUAGCUGGAGUACGGCAGAGGGGGAUGGAAUUCCGCGUGUAGCAGUGAAAUGCGUAGAUAUGCGGAGGAACACCGAUGGCGAAGGCAAUCCCCUGGGCCUGUACUGACGCUGAGGCACGAAAGCGUGGGGAGCAAACAG